GUGCAGCAGUCGCGCAAACUUUGCAAUACACGAAAGUGUGACAGGGCUAUCCCGAGUGCCGUCCGCUGAGGGUGGCUUUUACCCAGUCUAUAAAGCUGGGAGAAUAAGGAGAGGGCAAGUCUGGUGUCAGCCGCCGCGGUAAUACCAGCUCUCCGAGUGGUGUGGAUGUUUAUUGGGCCUAAAGCAUCCGUAGCUUGCCAAGCAAGUCCCCUGUUAAACCCACCGAAUUAAUCGUUGGAUUGCGGGGGAUACUGCUCGGCUAGGGGACGGGAGAGGCCGACGGUAUUUCCGGGGUAGGGGUGAAAUCCUAUAAUCCCGGGAAGACCACCAGUGGCGAAGGCUGUCGGCUAGAACGCGCCCGACGGUGAGGGAUGAAAGCUGAGGGAGCGAACCGGAUUAGAUACCCGGGUAGUCC
rnacentral:rRNA from 1 species